rnacentral:rRNA from 1 species
UUCGAGUUUGUGUAGGUUCUCCGAAGCAGCUCGAUAGUUCCGGCCGCCGAUUCAAUCCCGCCGCGGUGCUCUUAACUGAGUGUCGAGGUGGGCCGGCACGUUUACUUUGAACAAAUUAGAGUGCUUAAAGCAGGCUGAUUUACGCCUGAAUACUGUGUGCAUGGAAUAAUGGAAUAGGACUUCGGUUCUAUUUUGUUGGUUUUAAGAAUCCGAAGUAAUGAUUAAUAGGGACAGGCGGGGGCAUUCGUAUUGCGACGUUAGAGGUGAAAUUCUUGGAUCGUCGCAAGACGUACCUAAGCGAAAGCAUUUGCCAAGUAUGUCCUCGUUAAUCAAGAACGAAAGUUAGAGGUUCGAAGGCGAUCAGAUACCGCCCUAGUUCUAACCAUAAACGAUGCCAGCCAGCGAUCCGCCAAAGUUCCUCCGAUGACUUGGCGGGCAGCUUCCGGGAAACCAAAGCUUUUGGGUUCCGGGGGAAGUAUGGUUGCAAAGCUGAAACUUAAAGGAAUUGACGGAAGGGCACCACCAGGAGUGGAGCCUGCGGCUUAAUUUGACUCAACACGGGAAACCUCACCAGGCCAGGACACUGGAAGGAUUGACAGAUUGAUAGCUCUUUCUUGAUUCAGUGGGUGGUGGUGCAUGGCCGUUCUUAGUUGGUGGAGCGAUUUGUCUGGUUAAUUCCGAUAACGAACGAGACUCUAGCCUAUUAACUAGGCGUUCCCGGUAUCCACAAUAGUGCUACCGGCGAAUAAAUUUCUUCUUAAAGGGACAGGCGGCUUCUAGCCGCACGAGACUGAGCAAUAACAGGUCUGUGAUGCCCUUAGAUGUCCUGGGCCGCACGCGCGCUACACUGAAGGAAUCAGCGUGUCUUCCCUGGCCGAAAGGUCCGGGUAACCCGUUGAACCUCCUUCGUGCUAGGGAUUGGGGCUUGCAAUUGUUCCCCAUGAACGAGGAAUUCCCAGUAAGCGCGAGUCAUAAGCUCGCGUUGAUUACGUCCCUGCCCUUUGUACACACCGCCCGUCGCUACUACCGAUUGAAUGAUUUAGUGAGGUCUUCGGACUGGUGCGCGGUGGCCGCCCCGUGUGGUCACCGAUGUUGCCGGGAAGAUGACCGAACUUGAUCAUUUAGAGGAAGUAAAAGUCGUAAC